CCACCCCCUCAGCAGCACUCUCAGCUCUGGUUUAUAGAGGUGUCUAGAAUUGAACUGGGAACCUUGGAGCCUCAGGAAUGAAAAAUCUUAUAUAACCCUUGCAGUAGUUUAUGGUAAUGAUCAUGCUGUAGCACGCGCAGAUUUAAGGAUGUACUGCAUGUCACCCGAUGAUAAUGCAGGAUUGAAUCCAAGAUUCCUGGUUUAGGGGACUCUAAAAAGGCUCUUAGUAGUAGCAGUCCAUGGGAGGGUAGUUCGAUACAGUUACAGAGAAGUCCUAUCUGAAAUGGAAAAGUCAGAGUGGUAGGCAAAACUUACCGCUCUUCAAAUUUAUUUAAAAAAGAAAAUAUUUUGGGACUGGGCAAUGGCCCAUGUGGUAAGAGUGUACAUAUUACCAUGUGCAAGGACCUGGAGUUCAGGCUUCAGCCCCUGAGCAGAGGAGCAGUACUGCAGGAGCCUCGUUCGCUCACUGUUAGGAGGAGGAGGAAGAUAUGGCGCUGCUAGUGAGGGAGUGUCAUCCAAGCACCAAGGCCCCAGGCAGCAACUCUGUUGGCAAAAAGUAAAUAUCUCACUUAAUACUAUUUUCACAGAUUAAAAUAUUAAAAAGAAAUCAAAAGUAAAGUGUACUCUAAAAAUCCGUUUUUAUAAAUAAAUAUUUUUUAAAAGAAUGUACAUGAAAUGUUAGCUUAAACUUCUAGUCAUAAAAUAAGCAUCUUCCAAAUUUACACUUAAAAAAAAAUCCCUUAAGAAGUUGCCACUUUAGUGAGUAACAGUACACAGCCCAUACUUCCUCUUAGUGUUGAAAUAGAUUUGCCUUUCGAUCAAAUGCUAGAUGAAGUGUUUGAUCCAUUCUUCAGAGACCAUGUGGGAAAAGAAGUGUGUAUAUACACCUGGUUGAGUGCACAUGUUGCAGUGCAGCAGGUGUCUCUCUGUUCUUCUCUAUCUCCCCCUUCCCUCUCGAUUUCUGGCUGUCUCUAUCCAAUAAAUAAAUACAAAUCUUU